rnacentral:rRNA from 1 species
UACGGGAGGCAGCAGUGGGGAAUAUUGCACAAUGGGCGAAAGCCUGAUGCAGCUAUGCCGCGUGUAUGAAGAAGGCCUUAGGGUUGUAAAGUACUUUCAUCGGGGAGGAAAAACAAAACUAAUAAUUUUAUUUCUUGACGUUACCCGAAAAAGAAGCACCGGCUAACUCCGUGCCAGCAGCCGCGGUAAUACGGAGGGUGCUAGCGUUAAUCAGAAUUACUGGGCGUAAAGAGCACGUAGGUGGUUUUUUUAAGUCAGAUGUGAAUCCCUGGGCUUAACCUAGGAACUGCAUUUUGAAACUGAAAUACUAGAGUAUCGUAGAGGGAGGUAGAAUUCUAGGUGUAGCGGUGAAAUGCGUAGAUAUCUGGAGGAUACCUGUGGCGAAAGCGGCCUCCUAAACGAAUACUGACACUGAGGUGCGAAAGCGUGGGGAGCAAACAGGGAUUAGAUACC